rnacentral:rRNA from 1 species
GUGAGGAAUUUUGCGCAAUGGUGGCAACCCUGACGCAGCGACGCCGCGUGGAGGACGAAGUCUUUCGGGAUGUAAACUCCUGUCAGUGGGGACGAUAAUGACGGUACCCACAGAGGAAGCACCGGCUAACUCCGUGCCAGCAGCCGCGGUAAGACGGAGGGUGCAAGCGUUGUUCGGAAUUACUGGGCGUAAAGCGUAUGUAGGCGGCAAGUUAAGUUCAAUGUUAAAGCCCACGGCUCAACCGAGGAGAUGCAUUGAAUACUGGCUAGCUAGAGGGUGUUAGAGGAAGACGGAAUUCCCAGUGUAGCGGUGAAAUGCGUAGAUAUUGGGAGGAACAUCGGUAGCGAAAGCGGUCUUCUGGGACAUACCUGACGCUGAGGUACGAAAGCGUGGGGAGCAAACGGGAUUAGAUACCCGGGUAGUCC